UACGUAGGGUCCGAGCGUUGUCCGGGAUCACUGGGCGUAAAGGGCGCGUAGGCGGCCUGAUAAGUAGGGGGUGAAAUCCUGCGGCUUAACCGCAGGGCUGCCUUCUAAACUGUCAGGCUUGAGCACAGUAGAGGCAGGUGGAAUUCCCGGUGUAGCGGUGGAAUGCGUAGAGAUCGGGAAGAACAUCAGUGGCGAAGGCGGCCUGCUGGGCUGUUGCUGACGCUGAGGCGCGACAGCGUGGGGAGCAAACAGG
rnacentral:rRNA from 1 species